rnacentral:rRNA from 1 species
GACGAACGCUGGCGGCGCGCUUAACACAUGCAAGUCGAACGGAAAGGCCUGCUUUCCCUUGUGGAUUGCGGGUACUCGAGUGGCGAACGGGUGAGUAACACGUGAGUGAUCUGCCCCCAACUUGGGUAUAAGCCUGGGAAACUGGGUCUAAUUCCCGAUAGGACUGCAGGGUGGUGCCUGUGGUGGAAAACGAUUUUCUAGUGGUUGGGGAUGAGCUCGCGGCCUAUCAGCUUGUUGGUGGGGUAAUGGCCUACCAAGGCGGCGACGGGUAGCCGGCCUGAGAGGGUGGACGGCCACAUUGGGACUGAGAUGCGGCCCAGACUCCUACGGGAGGCAGCAGUGGGGAAUAUUGCACAAUGGGCGGAAGCCUGAUGCAGCGACGCCGCGUGGGGGAUGACGGCCUUCGGGUUGUAAACUCCUUUCGACCGCGAGGAAGCCACCUGGUUGGAAGGGUGGUGACGGUAGUGGUAGAAGAAGCACCGGCUAACUACGUG